GACGAACGCUGGCGGCGUGCCUAAUACAUGCAAGUAGAACGCUGAAGGAGGAUCUUGCUUCUCUGGAUGAGUUGCGAACGGGUGAGUAACGCGUAGGUAACCUGCCUGGUAGCGGGGGAUAACUAUUGGAAACGAUAGCUAAUACCGCAUAAGAGUAGAUGUUGCAUGACAUUUACUUAAAAGGUGCAAUUGCAUCACUACCAGAUGGACCUGCGUUGUAUUAGCUAGUUGGUGAGGUAACGGCUCACCAAGGCAACGAUACAUAGCCGACCUGAGAGGGUGAUCGGCCACACUGGGACUGAGACACGGCCCAGACUCCUACGGGAGGCAGCAGUAGGGAAUCUUCGGCAAUGGACGGAAGUCUGACCGAGCAACGCCGCGUGAGUGAAGAAGGUGUUCGGAUCGUAAAGCUCUGUUGUAAGAGAAGAACGAGUGUGAGAGUGGAAAGUUCACACUGUGACGGUAUCGUACCAGAAAGGGACGGCUAACUACGU
rnacentral:rRNA from 1 species